UACGUAGGGACCGAGCGUUGUCCGGAUUCAUUGGGCGUAAAGAGCUCGUAGGCGGCCACUCAAGUCGAAUGUGAAACCUCGAGGCCUAACCUCGAGCCUGCAUUCGAUACUGGGCGGCUAGAGUCUGGUAGGGGGAUCUGGAAUUCCUGGUGUAGCGGUGGAAUGCGCAGAUAUCAGGAGGAACACCGGUGGCGAAGGCGGGAUCCUGGGCCAGUACUGACGCUGAGGAGCGAAAGCGUGGGGAGCAAACAGG
rnacentral:rRNA from 1 species